rnacentral:rRNA from 1 species
CACGUAGGGUGCGAGCGUUGUCCGGAUUUAUUGGGCGUAAAGAGCUCGUAGGCGGUUCGAUAAGUCGACGGUGAAAUCUCCACGCUCAACGUGGAGGGGUCCGUCGGUACUGUCGUGACUCGAGUCCGGUAGGGGAGAAUGGAAUUCCCGGUGUAGCGGUGAAAUGCGCAGAGAUCGGGAGGAACACCCGUGGCGAAGGCGGUUCUCUGGGACGGUACUGACGCUGAGACGCGAAAGCGUGGGGAGCGAACAGG